GAAGUCCCUAGGGAGGUUCUAGUUUCAUUAGCUGUCCAGUUUUCCCAGCACUGUUUAUUGAAGAGACUGUCUUUUCUCCAUUGUAUAUUCACUGUAUAUUCUCACCUCCUUUGUCAUAUAUUAAUUGACCAUAGGUGCGUGGGUUUAUUUCUGGGCUUUCUAUCCUGUUCCACUGGUCUAUACUUCUGUUUUUGUGCCAGUACCAUACUGUUUUAAUUACUGUAGCUUUGUAGUUUAAUGCUAUACAUUUCUAAGUACUGUUUUAGCUGUAUCUCUCAACUUUUGACAUGCUGUAUUCUAAUUUUUAUUCAGUUUGAAAUACUCUCUAAUUUCCCUUUUGACUUCUUUGACCCAUGAACUAUCUAGAAGCUUAUUAUCUAGUUUCCAAACAUUUGGGGAUUUUCCAGAUACUUUUUUGCCAUUGAUCUAAUUCCACUGUGUCAGACAGCACACUUUUUAAUGCCUGGAUCAUUUUAAAGUUGUUAAGAUUUAUUUUAUGGCCCAGUAUAUGGUCUAUAUUAGUAAAUGUUAUGUGUGCACUUAAAAGAAUGUAUUCUGCUAUUGUUGGGUGGAGUAUUCUAAAUGUUAAUUAGGUCAGGUUGGUUGUAGUGCUAUUCAAGAUUUCUAUAAUCUUACUGACUUUAUGUCUAUUUGUCCUAUCAGUUAUUGAGGGAGUGGAUUUGUCAAUUUCCUGUUGCAUUUCUGUUACUUUUGGCGUUGUGUAUUUUGAAGCACUGUUAUUAGGUGCAUAAAAAUUGGAUUGUUAUGUCCACCUGAUGCAUUGACUGCUUUGCCACUAUGAUAUAAGCCUCUUUAUCCCUGGCAAUAUCCUUUACUCUAAAAUCUACUUUGCCUAAUAGUAGCAGAGCCUCUCCGGCUUUCUUAUGAUAAAAAUCAGCCUCGAGUAUUCAGCUGAGUCCCGAUCAGUGCACUUGUGUGAGAAAUGGCUGGGGAAAGAACACUCAGAAGAAUUAGAACAAUCCCAGGAGGUCACAUAGAAAAUACUGUUAUAUUUUAUUUAAAAUGUUGUUUAUGUUCAUAGGUGACAGGCUUAUUGUUUUUAGCUUUUUCUCAGUUUUUAUUUCUAAUAUGGUAAGUAUUGAUAGAUAGGACCCACAUCAUCAAAACUCUUGUGGUUCUCAGUAAUUUUUUUUUUUUUUUUUUUUUGCGGUACGCGGGCCUCUCACUGCUGUGGCCUCUCCCGGUGCGGAGCACAGGCUCCGGACGCGCAGGCUCAGUGGCCAUGGCUCACGGGCCCAGCCGCUCCGCGGCAUGUGGGAUCUUCCCGGACCGGGGCACGAACCCGUGUCCCCUGCAUCGGCAGGCGGACUCUCAACCACUGCACCACCAGGGAAGCCCCUCAGUAAUUUUUAAGACUGUAAAGUUGUCCUGAGACCAAAGAUUUGAAAACAACUGGUUUAGACAAAGUCGCAUAUUUGCCAUUUUAUUUGCUCCCCCUCUUCUUCCAUGUCAGACGAUCUUUCUAAGGUAAUUUUCUUUUUUCCUGAUGUAACUUUUAGGAGUUUCUUUGGUGAGAAUCUCUUGGUUUUAUAUCAUCAUAGAUUUUGUCUUUAAAAGAAUGUUAUUUCACCUAUUAGUUUUUAAAUCUUUAAAAAACUUGUAGUAAAAUACACCUAACAUAAAAUUUAUCAUUUUAACUAUUGUAAGUGUACAAUCAGUGGCAUUAAGUACAUUCACAACGUGGUGCAACCAUCCCCACCAUCUACUUGCAGAACUUUUUCAUUCCUCCAAGCGGAAACCCCACACCCAUAAACACUCUUCUUCCUCCCCCCCAGCCACUGGAAAUGAUUUCUUUUUUAAAAGGACAGCUUUAUUGAGAUGCAAUUCACAUACUAUACAACUCGCCCCUUGAAAGUGUAUGAUUCGAUGGUUUUUAGCACAUUCACAGACUUGUGAAACCACCGUCAGUUUUAGAACGUUUUCAUCACCCCCCAAAGGAAUCCUGUACCCAUUAACAGUCACUCCCUACUUCCUACCAAUCCCUCUCCCCAGCCCUAGAUAGCCACUACUCUACUGUCUGUCCUUAUAGAUGUACCUAUUCUGGACAUUUCUCAUAAAUGGAUUCAUGCAAUAGAUGGUCUCUUAUAACUGGUUUCUUUCACUUAGCAUAACGUUUUCAAGUUUCCUCUAUUGAUGCGGCAUUGCUGUAGCAGGCAUUAGUGUCCAUUCAAGGUUCCUCUAUUGAUGCGGCAUUGCUGUAGCAGGCAUUAGUGUCCAUUCAAGGUUCAUCUACUGAUGCAGCAUUGCUGUAGCAGGCAUUAGUGUCCACUCCUAUUAUGUUAGCUAACAUUCCAUUGUAUGGAUGUACUACCUUUUAUUUACCCAUCAUCACUUGUUGGACAUUUGACAUAUGUCUACUUUUUGGCUAUUAUGAGUGAUGCUGCUGUGAACAUUGGUGUACAAGUGUUUGUGUGGACAUAUGUUUCACUUAUCUUGGGUAGAUAUCUAGGAGUGGGACUGCCCAGUCAUAUGGUAACUUUAUGUUUAACUCUUGAGAAACUGACAGAAACUGGUGAUUUUCAAAGCUCUUGCAGCAUUUUCCAUUUUCACAAGGUAUAAGGGUUCCAACUGCCCCACAUCCUCUCCUGUUGUUAUUUGUCUUUUUUUUUUUUUUUUUAAUCAUAGCCAUCCUACUGGCUGGGAAGUGGUACCUUAUCGUAGUUUUGAUUUACAUUUCCCUGGUGGCUCAUGACAUUAAGCAUCUUUUCAUAUGCUUUUUGGCCAUGUGUAAACCUCUUUGGAGAAAUAUCUGUUGAGCUCCUUUGCCCAUUUUAAAAUUGGGUUUUUGUCUUUUUAUUAUUGAGUUGUCGGUGUUCUUUAUGUAUUCUGGAUACAAGGCCCUUCUCAGAUUAUAUGAGAUAUCUAAAUAUUUUCUCCCACACUGAGGUUUUUUUUUCAGUUUCUUGAUGGUGUCCUUUGAUGUGUAAAAGUUUUAAAUUUUGAUAGAGUCAAAUUUAUCUAUUGUUUCCAUGGAUCAUUUGUGCUUUUGGUGUCAUAUCAAAAAAUUAUUGCCUAGGGGACUUCCCUGGUGGUCCAGUGGUUAAGACUCCAUGUUUCCACUGCAGGGGGCACAGUUUUGAUCCCUGGUUGGGGAACUAAGAUCCUGCAUGCCGUGCGGCGUGGCCGAAAACAAAAGAAAACAAAACCAACCAAACAAAAAUUAUUGCCUAAUCCAAGGUCAUGAACAUUUACGUCUAUGUUUUCUUCUAAAACUCUUGCAUUUAGCCGUUUGAUCCGUUUUGAUUUAAUCUAUGUGUACAGUGUGAGGUAGGGGUCUAAUUUAAUUCUUUGGCAUAUGGGUAUCCAGUUUUCCCAGCACCAUUUACUGAGAAAACUAUUCUUUUCCCUGUUGAAUGGGCUUGGUAUCCUUGUCAAAGAUCAAUUGACCGUAGAUAUAUCGGCUUAGUUUUGGACUCUCAGUUCUAUUUCAUCCAAUUAUAUGUCUAUCGUCAUACCAACAUCACAUUGUUUUGAUUAUUGUAGCUUUGAGGUAAAUUUUGAAAUUGGGAAGUGUGAUUCAUCCAAUAUUGUUCUUUUUUUUUCAAGAUUGUUUCGACUAUUCUGAAUUCCUUAAUAUCCAUGUGAAUUUUAGGAUUGACUUGUCAACUUCUGCAAAGAAUGUAGCUGGAAUUUUUAUAGGAAUUUAUUUUGUAGAUCAAUUUGAGGAGUACUGCUAUCUGAACAAUAUUAAGUCUUCCAAUCCAUGAACAUGAGAUGCCUUUCCAUUUACUUAGUUCUUUAAUUUUUUUAACAAUGCUUUGUAAUUUUCAGAAUAUAAGUUUUGCAUAUCUUUUGCUAACUUUAUUCCCAAGUUUAUUCUUUCUGAUACUAUUUAAAUGGAAUUCUUUUUUUAAUUUUCAAAUUGUUCAUUACAAAUGUAUAGAAAUAUAAUUGGUUUUUGUAUACUGAUCUUGUAUCCCACAAACUUGCUGAACUUGUUUAUUGGGUUUCAUAGUUUUUUUAGUAGAUCCUUAAGAUUUUCUAUAUAGAAAAUCACGUCAUCUGCAAAUAAAGAGAGUUUUACUUCUUCUUUUCCAAUCUUGCUGACUUUUAUUUCGUUUUCUUGCUUUAUUGCCCUGGCUAGAAUCUCAAAUACAAUGCUCAACAGACGUGGGAAAAGUGGACAUCUUUAUUCACCUUAUUUCUUAAGUGGUAAAGCUUGACACAAAUUUAGCUUAGUGCUUCUCAAGCAUUAAUGUGGGAAAAUACCUCACCUGUCCUCCUCAAAACUGUCAAGGUCAGCAAAAGCAAAGUUUUGAGAAACCAUCUUAGCCAAGAGGAGCCUAAGGUAGGUAAUAUGAUGACGAAAUGUAAUACGGUGUCCAGGAUGAGAUCCUGUAACAUGAAAAGAACAUUAGGUAAAAAAUAAGAAGAAGAAUAUAUGACUAAAAUACAGAUUUUAAUUGACAGUAAGAUAUUGGUUCACUAAUUGUGACAUAUGUACCAUAUUACUAUAAGAUGUUAAUAGGAGAAACUGAGUAUGGGGUAUAUGGGAACUUUCUGUAUUAUCGUCACUAUUUUUCUGUAACUCUUGAACUAUUCUACAAUUUAAAGUUUAUUUUUAAAUGGCAUUAAUGUGCUUAUUUGUUAUAAUGCAGAUUGUGACUCGGUGGACCUGUGGCAGGGCCCCAGGAUCCUGCGUUUCCAAAAGAUCCAGGGUGCAUGGCCCACACUUUAAGAAGAUUUCACUUUUGCUAAUGAGUUUAAAUGUCAUCCUUUUGUGGGUAAUCUGUUUUUUCUCUCUGACGGCUUUAAAAUUUUUUCUCAGGGACUUCCUUGGUGGUCCGGUGGUUAGGACUCUGUGCUUUCGCCGCUGUGGCCCGAGUUCAGUCGCUGGUCGAGGAACUAAGAUCCCGAAAGCCAAGCAGUGCAGCCAAAAAAAAAAAUAAUAAUAAAAUAAAAUUUUUUCUCUUUGUCUUUGGUUUUCUAUGAUUUUGCUACAGUGUGUUUUGAUAUGGAUACUUCAUUUGCCACGACUGGAUUUUAUUGUGCUUCUUGGAUAUAAUGACCCAUGCUUUUCAUCAUUUUGGAAAAUAAUUAUCAGCUAUAAUUUCUUCAAAAAUUAUCUCCCUAUUUCCUUCAGGAUCUUCUAGAACUACAGUU